rnacentral:rRNA from 1 species
AUCAACUUUCGAUGGUAGGAUAGAGGCCUACCAUGGUGGUAACGGGUAACGGGGUGUUAGGGCACGACACCGGAGAGGGAGCCUGAGAAACGGCUACCACAUCCAAGGAUGGCAGCAGGCGCGCAAAUUACCCAAUCCCGACACGGGGAGGUAGUGACAAUAAAUAACAAUACGGGGUUCUAAAGGAUUUCGUAAUUGGAAUGAGUACAAUUUAAAUCUCUUAACGAUCAACAAUUGGAGGGCAAGUCUGGUGCCAGCAGCCGCGGUAAUUCCAGCUCCAAUAGCGUAUAUUAAAGUUGUUGCAGUUAAAAAGCUCGUAGUUGAAUUUCGGGGUUAGUAGGUUGGUCAUGCCUCUGGUAUGUACUAAUCUCACUGAUUCCUCCCUCUUGACGAACUGUAAUGUCAUUAAUUUGGUGUUGCAGGAAAUCAGGACUGUUACUUUGAAAAAAUUAGAGUGUUUAAAGCAGGCUUAGGCUUGAAUACAUUAGCAUGGAAUAAUGAAAUAGGACGUUUGAACCUAUUUUGUUGGUUUCUAGGAUCGACGUAAUGAUUAAUAGGGAUAGUUGGGGGCAUUAGUAUUCAAUUGUCAGAGGUGAAAUUCUUGGAUUUAUUGAAGACUAACUACUGCGAAAGCAUUUGCCAAGGAUGUUUUCAUUAAUCAAGAACGAAAGUUAGGGGAUCGAAGACGAUCAGAUACCGUCGUAGUCUUAACCAUAAACUAUGCCGACUAGGGAUCGGAUGAUGUAAAUUUUUUAAUGACUCAUUCGGCGCCUUACGGGAAACCAAAGUGUUUGGGUUC